rnacentral:rRNA from 1 species
UACGAAGGGGAGCGAGCGUUGUUCGGAUUUACUGGGCGUAAAGGGCGCGCAGGCGGCUCAUUUUGUCAGGCGUGAAAGCCCCGGGCUUAACCUGGGAACUGCGUUUGAUACGGAUGGGCUAGAGUUCGGGAGAGGAGAGUGGAAUUCCCAGUGUAGAGGUGAAAUUCGUAGAUAUUGGGAAGAACACCGGUGGCGAAGGCGGCUCUCUGGACCGAGACUGACGCUGAGACACGAAAGCGUGGGUAGCAAACAGG